UACGAAGGGGGCUAGCGUUGCUCGGAAUCACUGGGCGUAAAGCGCACGUAGGCGGAUUGUUAAGUCAGGGGUGAAAUCCUGGAGCUCAACUCCAGAACUGCCUUUGAUACUGGCGAUCUCGAGUUCGGGAGAGGUGAGUGGAACUGCGAGUGUAGAGGUGAAAUUCGUAGAUAUUCGCAAGAACACCAGUGGCGAAGGCGGCAUCCGUGGACCAAUUCUGACGCUGAGGAGCGAAAGCCAGGGGAGCAA
rnacentral:rRNA from 1 species